CCCCUCCCUGGAUCACACUUGGAGAGUUUCCACUAUUCUACCUGACUCGGCUACAGGAGGGAGAGUAAAGCAGAGGCAUAUCCAUUCCAUUCCAAGCUUGGGCAAUGGCUAGUAAGUGGAAGGCAAUCUGCUACAAGU